GGGAUUGCCUUAGUAACGGCGAGUGAAGCGGCAACAGCUCAGAGUUGAAAUCUGGCCCCUCCGGGGUCCGAGUUGUAAUCUGUAGAGAGUGUUUCGGGCGAGGCCACGGUCUAAGUUUGUUGGAACACGGCGUCAUAGAGGGUGAGAAUCCCGUAUGUGACCGUGGCCCGAGCCCAUGUGAAGCCUCUUCGACGAGUCGAGUUGUUUGGGAAUGCAGCUCAAAAUGGGUGGUAAAUUUCAUCUAAAGCUAAAUACGGGCUGGAGACCGAUAGCGCACAAGUAGAGUGAUCGAAAGAUGAAAAGCACUUUGGAAAGAGAGUGAAACAGUACGUGAAAUUGUUGAAAGGGAAGCGCUGGCAACCAGACCUGUCCGCGGGCGAUCAGCCGCUGUUCUCAGCGGUGCACUCGCCCCGCGAUCAGGCCAGCAUCGGUUUCGGCGGUCGGAUAAAGGCCUGGGGAACGUAGCUCCCUCUCGGGGGAGUGUUAUAGCCCCGGGCGCAAUGCGGCCAGCCGGGACCGAGGACCGCGCUUCGGCUAGGAUGCUGGCGUAAUGGUUGUCAGCGACCCGUCUUGAAACACGGACCAAGGAGUCUAACAUCUAUGCGAGUGUUUGGGUAUCAAACCCAUGCGCGUAAUGAAAGUGAACGGAGGUGAGAACCCGUUACCGGGCGCAUUAUCGACCGAUCCAGAUGUCUUCGGAUGGAUUUGAGUAUGAGCAUAGCUGUUGGGACCCGAAAGAUGGUGAACUAUGCCUGAAUAGGGUGAAGCCAGAGGAAACUCUGGUGGAGGCUCGCAGCGGUUCUGACGUGCAAAUCGAUCGUCAAAUUUGGGUAUAGGUGCGAAAGACUAUCGACC
rnacentral:rRNA from 1 species